rnacentral:rRNA from 1 species
CCUACGGGGGGCAGCAGUGAGGAAUAUUGGUCAAUGGACGAGAGUCUGAACCAGCCAAGUAGCGUGAAGGAUGACUGCCCUAUGGGUUGUAAACUUCUUUUAUAUGGGAAUAAAACGUUCAACGUGUGGGAUUUUGUAUGUACCAUAUGAAUAAGGAUCGGCUAACUCCGUGCCAGCAGCCGCGGUAAUACGGAGGAUCCGAGCGUUAUCCGGAUUUAUUGGGUUUAAAGGGAGCGUAGGUGGAUUGUUAAGUCAGUUGUGAAAGUUUGCGGCUCAACCGUAAAAUUGCAGUUGAAACUGGCAGUCUUGAGUACAGUAGAGGUGGGCGGAAUUCGUGGUGUAGCGGUGAAAUGCUUAGAUAUCACGAAGAACUCCGAUUGCGAAGGCAGUUCACUGGACUGCAACUGACACUGAGGCUCGAAAGUGUGGGUAUCAAACAGGAUUAGAUACCCGUGUAGUC